UCUCCGUAGGUGAACCUGCGGAGGGAUCAUUAAAGAGUUCGUGCCCUCGCGGGUCGAUCUCCCACCCUGUGUUAUUGCUACCUUUGUUGCUUUGGCGGGCAGCCCUCCGCUACUGGCACCGGCUGGUACGUGCCCGCCAGAGGACCACAAACCCUGAACGUCAGUGUAGUCUGAGUACUAUACAACAGUUAAAACUUUCAACAACGGAUCUCUUGGUUCUG
rnacentral:misc_RNA from 1 species